rnacentral:rRNA from 1 species
CUGGCGGCAUGCCUUACACAUGCAAGUCGAACGGCAGCACGGGAGCAAUCCUGGUGGCGAGUGGCGAACGGGUGAGUAAUAUAUCGGAACGUGCCCAGUCGUGGGGGAUAACGCAGCGAAAGCUGUGCUAAUACCGCAUACGAUCUACGGAUGAAAGCGGGGGACUCGCAAGGGCCUCGCGCGAUUGGAGCGGCCGAUAUCAGAUUAGCUAGUUGGUGGGGUAAAAGCCCACCUAGGCGACGAUCUGUAGCUGGUCUGAGAGGACGACCAGCCACACUGGAACUGAGACACGGUCCAGACUCCUACGGGAGGCAGCAGUGGGGAAUUUUGGACAAUGGGCGCAAGCCUGAUCCAGCAAUGCCGCGUGCAGGAUGAAGGCCUUCGGGUUGUAAACUGCUUUUGUACGGAACGAAAAGGUCUGCCCUAAUACGGUGGGCUCAUGACGGUACCGUAAGAAUAAGCACCGGCUAACUACGUGCCAGCAGCCGCGGUAAUACGUAGGGUGCGAGCGUUAAUCGGAAUUACUGGGCGUAAAGCGUGCGCAGGCGGUUAUAUAAAACAGAUGUGAAAUCCCCGGGCUCAACCUGGGACCUGCAUUUGUGACUGUAUAGCUAGAGUACGGUAGAGGGGGAUGGAAUUCCGCGUGUAGCAGUGAAAUGCGUAGAUAUGCGGAGGAACACCGAUGGCGAAGGCAAUCCCCUGGACCUGUACUGACGCUCAUGCACGAAAGCGUGGGGAGCAAAACAGGAUUAGAUACCCUGGUAGUCCACGCCCUAAACGAUG